ACAGCUGUAAUUCUAUUCCUAGAG
rnacentral:piRNA from 1 species